ACGCCCAGCUGAUUUUUUGUAUUUUUAGUAGAGACGGGGUUUUGCCAUGUUGGCCAGGCUGGUCUCGAACUCCUGACCUCAGGUGAUCCACCCAUUUUGGCCUCCCAAAGUACUGGGAUUACAGGCGUGAGCACCCGUGCCCGGCCACACCAUUAUUUUGAAGAGAAAAUUUGAUAAAAAUAAUUGGUCAGUUGUAAAAAUGGUUAACUACCCAACUGGUAAGAGAGAUUUCUAAGAGUUACAGAAUAGCAACUGCAGGAAGGAACUUGUGCCCUUAGGACUGAGGAAGUAAAAAGGAAGGAAACUUGGAAACACGGAAGAGCCCUUCCCCUUUCAAUUCAAGGUGGAGACUGGACCUCAGAAGAGGGAGUGGGUGCCCCGAGAACUCACAGCUAGUGGACAGCGGAAAGGGCAGGAGCCGGACCAAGUGUUCAUCCAUCGCCCUGUAUUAGCGAAGAACAACAUCAAGCUGGCUAGCAAGGAACUGUAUACAGGGUCCAGCUGGGUAUCACACUGGAUCUCACCCAAAGCUGAGAUGUGAUCCAGCUCCGUAUCACAAAGCAGAACGAAAAGGAUGUGUUUGGGCUGAGAGGCCAUACAUUGGCUCCGGCACGACGGGUGGCUUCUGCAGCACACAGGGCUUCGCCAGCACCCAGCUCCUGCAGCAUGGGCAGCUCCUGUGACAGCAGGCGCCCACAGCCUGCAAAGCGUCUCCAGUGCCGCCGCCUCAGUGAACCGCAACCAGCGGCACCUAGCAGCUUUCUCCGCCACCCUCUUCAGGCAGGAAGCCCGCCUGACCCCACGUCUCAGGCUGCCAGAGGAGCGUGCGAUGAGGAAGGCUGGACUGUCUUCACAGGACACCAGAGAGAAGCCUCAAGCCACUGCCCCCUGACAAGUCUCAGCUCUCCAGCCUGUCUCCUCACUCCCCUCCCCUCCACAUGGGGGGGUUGGGGUGGGGGCGGGGAAGGUUCGGGGCAGGGGUCAUUUCAGCUACUGGGCACCAGUCUCCUCCUCAUGUUUAUCCUGUUCCCUUUGCUUGAAAGGUUCGUACUCCAGAUCCUUGUAAAACCGCUUCUCACCCUUUGAGUCUCAGCUUAAAUGUCCCCUCCUUGGAGGGGUCUUCCCUGACAAUGAAGCUCCGACCGUCCUCUCCUGUUUUACCCAGUUCAUUUCUUUCUGGCAUUUGUAACUACUUGAAGUUAAAGUGUGUGCCAUGUAUGUGUCUGUCAGUUUCCCCCACCACACUGGAACCCCAUGAGGGCAAGGGUCUUG
rnacentral:lncRNA from 1 species